rnacentral:rRNA from 1 species
UGGGCGCAGCCUGAUCCAGCAUGCCGCGUGAGUGAAGAAGGCCUUCGGGUUGUAAAGCUCUUUUGUCAGGGAAGAAACGGUGAGCUCUAAUACAGUUUGCUAAUGACGGUACCUGAAGAAUAAGCACCGGCUAACUACGUGCCAGCAGCCGCGGUAAUACGUAGGGUGCAAGCGUUAAUCGGAAUUACUGGGCGUAAAGCGUGCGCAGGCGGUUUUGUAAGUUUGUCGUGAAAUCCCCGGGCUCAACCUGGGAAUGGCGAUGAAGACUGCAAGGCUAGAGUUUGGCAGAGGGGGGUAGAAUUCCACGUGUAGCAGUGAAAUGCGUAGAUAUGUGGAGGAACACCGAUGGCGAAGGCAGCCCCCUGGGUCAAAACUGACGCUCAUGCACGAAAGCGUGGGGAGCAAACAGGAUUAGAUACCCUGGUAGUCCACGCCCUAAACGAUGUCUACUAGUUGUCGGGUCUUAAUUGACUUGGUAACGCAGCUAACGCGUGAAGUAGACCGCCUGGGGAGUACGGUCGCAAGAUUAAAACUCAAAAAAAUUGACGGA